GCGGGUUUGGCGGAAUUGGCAGACGCGCACGGUUCAGGUCCGUGUGAGGAAACUCAUGGGGGUUCAAAUCCCUUAGACCGCACCA
rnacentral:tRNA from 1 species